UUCCUCCCUGCCCGAGGCCCAUACAAGGCGCUUCCUUCCCGGCCGUCUGGCCGGCGGCCCGCGGGCGGCUGUGGGCGGGAGCCGGCGGCCGGGGACCCGCUGCCAAGGAGGGGGCGGCCGGCGGCGCUGGGAACGCGCCUGGCUGAGGAACCGGCAAGUCCUAACAGGCCCUCCCUGCAGCACUUCCAGGGACUUAAACCUGGCCCAGCCAUGUGGUUACCCUGAUCUAUCUGCCUGGAGAUGAGCAAAGGUCAGAGAGAGGGACCAGACCUCAGCAGACCACACCACCAGCAACUCCCGAACCCCCACCCCCCAGCUCUUCCAGAAGUGCAACACCUCAGCAUACAGGCUGUCUGCUGGACCAACCGAGAGAGAGAGAGAGGCAGAGACACAGGCAGAGGGAGAAGCAGGCUCCAUGCACCGGGAGCCCGACGUGGGAUUCAAUCCCGGGUCUCCAGGAUCGCGCCCUGGGCCAAAGGCAGGUGCCAAACCGCUGCGCCACCCAGGGAUCCCCAUGGCUUAUAUGUCUUGAUGAACAGUGUUCUACUUGGAUGUUAAGUGUUUCAGGACUGAGCCCCACCGUCUCUUCUCAAAUGUGAAACAAAUUUCAAAAAUCUAAAUCGUUAUCCUCCUGCCUAACACACCUGAAUGGCUUUUCAUAAUAUUCAGAAUAAAAUUUCAAGUUCUCAGCAA